UACAGAGGGUGCAAGCGUUGUCCGGAUUUAUUGGGCGUAAAGAGCGUGUAGGCGGCUUGGUAGGUCCGCUGUGAAAACUCGAGGCUCAACCUCGAGAUGUCGGCGGAAACCACUUGGCUAGAGUCCGGAAGAGGAGAGUGGAAUUCCUGGUGUAGCGGUGAAAUGCGCAGAUAUCAGGAAGAACACCUAUGGCGAAGGCAGCUCUCUGGGACGGUACUGACGCUGAGACGCGAAAGCGUGGGGAGCGAACAGG
rnacentral:rRNA from 1 species